GAAGUGUACUGGUGCUGCUGGCCUUGGUCCUGAAACAUUAGUGCCAGGAGGGGCUGAGCUGUUGCUUAGAAUGUGUGCUCAUCAGUGCCUGCUGCCCUGCCUCCCGGAGGACACAGAUUUGAUUUGGAGAGUCAAGGAAAGAAGGGUGAACGUCCCAAGCAGAGUGCCUGGAACAUGUUGUAAGCUCCUGGAGAGAAGUGACCUUGUCUUAGCUAUCACUUGGUCACCAGAACUUCGCAGAGAACUCAAGACAUACUUGCUGAAUGGAUUCACACAGGAAUCAUCUAUCCAGCCCCUGCCUCUUUUAUGGAGGCAGAAACUAAAGCCCAGAGGGGACGUCUGAACCACUCAAGGUCACAUAGCUAGUUGAUAGCCUAAUCAGACC